ensembl:lncRNA
CAUAGAGACCCUAUAGGACCCCAUAGGACCCCAUAGGACCCCAUAACCUCCAUGUCCCCCUGCAGGGGCGCCGUGAGUUGGCGCUGAGCUCCUUCUGGUUGGCCAACUGCUGUAUAAGGACCCCAUAGAGCCCCAUAGGACCCCAUAGAGACCCCAUAGAGCCCCAUAGAGCCCCUUAGAGCCCCAUAGAGACUCCAUAGAGCCCCAUAGUGACCCCAUAGAGCCCCAUAGGGACUCAUAGGACUGCAUUGGACUCCAUGGAGCCCCGUAGGACUCAUAGGGACUCCAUAGAGACUCCAUAGAGACCCCAUAGGACCCCAUAGAGACCCCAUAGAGACCCCAUAGGACCCCAUAGGACCCCAUAACCUCCAUGUCCCCCUGCAGGGGCGCCGUGAGUUGGCGCUGAGCUCCUUCUGGUUGGCCAACUGCUGUAUAAGGACCCCAUAGAGCCCCAUAGGACCCCAUAGAGACUCCAUAGAGCCCCAUAGAGACCCCAUAGAGCCCCAUAGGGACUGAUAGGACUGCAUUGGACUCCAUAGAGCUCCCAUAGACCCCCAUAGGACCCCAUAGCCCCCCCAUAGAGCCCCAUAGGGACCCCAUAGAGCCCCAUAGAGACUCCAUAGAGCCCCAUUGACCCUCAUAGGGCCCCAUAGAGCCCCAUUGAGCCCCCAUAGAGCCCCAUAGGACUCCAUAGAGCCCCAUAGGACCCCAUAGAGUCCCCAUAGAGCCCCAUAGAGACCCCAUAGAGCCCCAUAGGACGGCAUUGGCCCCCAUAGGCUGCCAUUGGGACCCCAUAGGACCCCAUAGAGCCCCCAUAGACCCCCCCAUAGAGCCCAUAGGGACUCAUAGGGCUGCAUUGGACUCCAUAGAG